GGCAAGGAGAAGAUCUGAAGAAGGUUAUAAUUUUUUUUUCCCUAGAAGGAUCUUCCUUGCCAAAGUUGACCAUGGGUUGGGCUGUGAUUUUUUCAGCGCUCCUCGCUUACUGCACAGGCAUUGAUGGUCAGCCGACUUGGACUCAGCCUCCCUCCAGCUCCGUGUCCCCAGGUGGAACCGUUACGAUCUCCUGCACAACCCAGAGUACUAGCACCAUUAGCUGGAAUCAACAGAAAGCAGGAGAAGCCCCUCGUUUUGUCCACUGUAACGGCUGCAGUAGCAGGGGAGAAGGGAUCCCCGAUCGGUUCACUGCCACCCAGUCUGGGACCACAGGAUCUUUGACCAUCACCAAUGCAGAUGCUGGAGAUGAGGCUGAUUAUUUCUGUGUCAGCUGGAACAGUAAUGCGUUCCACAGUGGUACAUUCUUAUGGGGAAGUGUGACAAAAACCUCCUCUCUGCCUCUUCAGUCUGAAACCACAAGCAACAUAUCUUGA